UACGGGGGGAGCAAGCGUUGUUCGGAAUCACUGGGCGUAAAGGGAGUCUAGGCGGUUUGGUAAGUGGGAUGUGAAAUGCCCGGGCUCACCCCGGGACCUGCAUCCCAAACUGCUGAGCUUGAGUACAGGAGAGGGUGGGGGAAUUCCAGGUGUAGCGGUGAAAUGCGUAGAUAUCAGGAGGAACGCCGGAGGCGAAAGCGAGUGACUGGCGCGUUCCUGACGCUGAGGUGCGAAAGCUAGGGGAGCAAACAGG
rnacentral:rRNA from 1 species